rnacentral:misc_RNA from 1 species
GGCCUGGCUGCCUCAGUCUCCACCUGUGGACGCCAGGUGUCGCUACGCUGCUGCGGGUUUACACAACGUUUACAUAACAGUCUGGCUAUUACAACGUGUGGACGCCAGCGCUGCAUGGUGUGAUCGACACCGUUGUGAGAGGCGACAAUCAUGGGACGGAGCCGCAAACUGGCCAGAAAGCUCCUCAAACGGACAGCUGAGAACCGACAAUCGGCUGAUGAGAAACAGUGUAACGAGGAUGAGAAACACACUGAGAAACACCAGGAGAAUGGAGACCUGCAACAGACCGGCGAGCACCAACAGCCUGGUGCUCUGACCAAAACAAUAAUCCAUUGCUGUAACAUCUGCCAGUUGACGUUCACUACAACAUUGAGCUUUGAAAGACACAUGAAGAGACAUGAAGCAGACAAACCACAUAAGUGCCAACACUGUGACAAGAAAUUUGUAACCAAAUCUGGCCUCGAUAUCCACAGAAGAAAACACACAGGUGAGAGACCAUUCAAGUGUGACAAUUGCUCAAAGGCCUUCACAACACGAUCAGUACUCAUAAUGCACAUGAGAGGCCACACAGGUGAGAAACCCUAUGAGUGCAAUAUUUGUGGUGCAAGAUUCACUCAGAGUGCAACUCGAGCUGACCACAUGCGGCGUCAUACAGGAGAGGAACAAUACCAAUGUACCAAUUGCCCAAAAAAAUUUGUUACGAGAAUAGGGUAUCGUGGACACAUAUUGGUGUGUCAAAGAAAAAGUAAGAUUGAGUGUAAAAUAUGUACAAAACAAUUUAUCACCAACAGUUUACUUAUAGCACAUAUGAUUACACAUUCAAAUGAAAGACCAUUUGAAUGCGGAGAAUGUGGAAAAAAGUUUAAAAGCAAAUAUUCGUUAGCACUCCAUCUUAAAUUCGUACAUUUAAAAGAAAAACCUUACCAGUGUGACAUAUGCAUGAAAAGAUAUUCAGCAAAAAAGUCUCUCAUCAUGCAUACGAUGACUCAUACUAAUAUUGGCAGAUUUCAGUGUGAACAAUGUGGAAGGAUGUUCAACUCUAAGAGACAUGUUCUCCGUCACCAAACUUCUCAAAAUGGAUGCAAGAGAAAGUAUGUUUUUAAACCAUUCUUUUGUAAGCAAUGCGGAGCCCAGUUUAACAGUGACGCAGCCGUUCGCAAACAUAAGAGGAGGACCCCGGAUUGCACAAAAACACAUGUACGUUUCUUAUGUGACUUCUGUCGUGAGGAUUGUAAAACAUACGAAGGACUUGUAACGCAUCUGCUUGAUCAUGCUGAACCUGGAAGGAAAGGUUAUGACAACUUACUCAAUAGAAUGACUCAUGGCAAAAAACGUGUCAACCCAGCCUUGAUAGUGAAGGUUUACAACUCGGGUAAAGUUAGUACGCCGAGAGACAACAUUGGUGCUCACAUUAAUAUCGAUCAACGGCAAGCCACAAGCGUCCCUACUGACCAUUCACAAGUUGUGCACAACAACACAGCUGUGGACCAUCAACGAGGCAAUGCAGACUAUCACAAAACAGCUAUAGACCAUCACGACAGAGCUGUAGAUCACCACAAAACAGCUGUAGACCAUCACGAAACUGGUGUAGAUAAUCACAAAACAGCUGUUAACGUCUUCUCUCAGGAUACGUGUUUAACUAGUGAAACUAAUUUUGAUAACAUAAACACGAAUGAUAAGCUAAAUAAGGAUGAGGGAAGAAAAUAUCUCGGAAAUACAGAUGCAUAUUGUAAUUUAGACAGUAAUCACGUGAAUGGUAUAUGGGGAACAUGUCAAGAUCUUGGCAACAACUAUAUUUCAACCAGGGAACUGCAGGUGAGGGAUAAAUGUGACAUAGAAGUGAUCAAACAUGCUUGUGUGAUGCAGAGAAGUUAUCCAAUGAUUACGGAAGCAGAAGAAGUGGGUUUGAAAGAGGAGGAGGAGACAGAGGAUUAUAAUUUAGAAAGUAAACACAUUGAUGGUAUAUGGGGAACCUGUCAAAAUCAUUGCGACGACUAUUAUUCAACUAGGGAACACAAGGUGAAGGAAAAAUGUGACAUAGAAGUGAUCAAAGAUGCUUGUGUGAUGCAGAGAAGUUAUCCCAUGAUUAAGGAAGCAGAAGAAGUGAGUGUGAAAGAGGAGAAUGAGACAGUGGAGAAGUGGGUAGAAGAGCCGGAGAUGCAGAAGACAUCAGAUAGACAGUUCCUAGAGAGCACCUCACUCCUCAUCGUCAACGGCAUCACCACAAUCAAGCGUGAAGCGUGUCAUCCUGCUCCUCACACUUCAGUACCUCAUUAUUGAUCAUAUGUUCGACCAUCCAACAACUGACUACCUCACAGCCUCUUGGCUACCUAAGGCUUGGCUCUCUUGUACUCUAUUACCUUUAUAUACGUUUAUCAUUAGAAACAAAUGUGAGAACAUCUCACAUUUGUUAGUUUACGUCUCAUUUAGUAUUGUCUUAACUCCAUUUUAUGUAUAACAAAAAAUUAACUGAAUUAUAUUAAGUUUUGCCUGAAACGCUUUGCGUAUUAAUGGCUUUAUUUAUUAUCAUUAAUAUUAUUAUUACUAUUAUUAUUUACACAAGCAGAUCACACUAGCGUGAUAUAUCAAUGAGAAAAAUUGGAGCAAGAAGUACUGUGGAUUCGAUUGAAUCUCAUGUUGUAUAACUUUUACCAUGUUGUGGUCCAGAGGUAAGGUGCAUGGCUUGGGAGUACCCAGGUCGAGGGUUCAAAUUUAUUCGAAUUUCGGAUAUCUCUUUCUCCUCUCGUAGAAAGGAGUGAACCAAGUAUACUACUCUAUACUAAUAGAUAUACCAAUUAGUAUACUAAUUGGUAAAGCAGGAGAAGUAGCCUCUUUCAUUGAAACAUACUGCUGUCUGUCACUAAGGUAAGAUUGCAAGUACUGUAGGGAGUGGCCUCUGACUCCAUAGUGUUGGAGUUUGAGAGAAGGUUAAUUAAUGUGGUUAAGGGUCAAAAGCAUUACCUAGGUAAAUAAAUAGACCAAUGUGGUACACAUUUUUGUCAAGGGCUGCAUGUAUUAGGUUAAGCAUAUUUAUAAGAGCAUCAUUGGUGCUUUUAUGGGGGAAUGAAGCCAUAUUGGCUUGAACUGAGAACAGUAUAUUGUGUUUAUCGAGAAACGAAUAGAGUUGUUUGUAUAUGAGUUUCUCAAAGAUUUUGGACAAGGUGGGAAGGCCUGAUAUUGGUCUGAAAUUCUUGAUUUCGGUGAGAUCUCCACUCUCAUGGACUGGAAUGACUUUAGUCAUUUUAAGAGCAUCUGGAAAGUCUUGGAGCUCCAAUGAUUUAUUGUAGAGCAAUGCUAUUGCAGGAGCUAGAAACCUUGAGAAGUUUUUAUAGAUUAGGGUUGGUAUCUCAGAAGGGUUACAGGAUUUAGUUUUAAGUGACAGGGUAAUAUAAAUAUUAUAUGAGGAGUUAGGUGGGGACAGGUACAGAGGCUCAAAAUAGUUGCCAGAGGUAAUCGCUCACAUUACUUGGGGGAGCUGGGAGGUGCCAAUAGACGAAAAGAAACUAUUGAAUUUAGUAGUCGUGUCAGCGCAGUUGAUAAAAUUCCACUAUUUCCAGCUAGGAUUAUUGUUUUUUUUUUUAUCCAAGUUCUUCUUUGACUCUAAUAUCUGGGAAAUAGUAUUCCAUGUUUUCUUUUUGUUACCUUUUAUAAAUUUAAAAUUAUUUUCAUAGUGGGUUGUCUUGGCUUUUUUAAUAUCUUAGAAAGCAGUGAGGAGUAUUGCUUAGCCAAUUCUCUGGGAAUGAUACCAAGCCUGCAUUUCUUCUCAUAUUCAUGUUUUUUAUCAAUUGAAGUAAGUAAAACCUUAUUGAGCCAAUGGUUGAUGGCACUUUUAGUUGUGACUUGCUUACUAAGUAAAGGACAGUGAAUAUUAUAGAGGCUUAGAGUUUUGCGAAGAAAUGUCUGCACUCUUAGAUUAAUAUUUUUCAUAUUUCCAAAUUCCGUUUCCCAGUUUAUGUUACCGGCAGCAGCUGUAAAGGUACUUAUGGAAGCUUCAGUAAGCAGUCUAAAUCUUAUUUUCUUUGUUUCAAGAGGUUUAAAAAUGUUGGUUAGGAGAAAUGUUGGGUAGUGGUCUGUUGUAUCAUCAGUGAUUAUUCCAGAGCUUAGUGGAGAGGUUAAGGUAGUCCAAAUGUGGUCAAGGGUGGAGGCAGUUUCAGUAAUUCUCGUGGGUUUAGUAAUCAAAGGCAAAAACAUACAGGAGUUCAUACAGUUGAGGAAGCUGGCAACAAGUGGGUUACCUGGCUGGCAGAGGUCAGUAUUGAAAUCUCCAGUUAAUUUUAGUUGAUUUUUGUGAAGGUUGUUCAUUAUUAUUAAGUUUCUAACAUUCGAAUUUAAUUCAGCUAAUUUAAUUCAAUGUAUUAGAAAUUCUGUAUACUGCUCCCAAAGUUAAGUUAGUGUUCAGGCCCUUCAGUUUGAAGUGAUAAAAAUAUACUCUCCAUGGGUAGAUUUGAUAAGUUUUGUGCAUGAUAUAUUCUUUUGGUAAUAAAUUAAAAUGAAUGAAUUAAAUGAUUAAAUUGGUGGACCGCCACCUCUCUGGUUAGGGCUACAGUUGUGGAUAGCAGAAUAAUUGGGAAUAUUAUAUAGUUGGUUAAUGUCAUCACUUAACCAGCACUCAGUAAGAGCAACAAAGGAGAAUUGGUAGUUGAGUGUUUACAAUAAGGCACCAACAUCAUCAUGGUGUUUGCUAAAGAGACCUUACAUUGAUGUUAAUUAGACACAUUGAUGUUAAUUAAAGAUACAUUGAUGAUAAUUAGAGACACAUUGAUGUUAAUUAGAGACACAUUGAUGUUAAUUUAAGAUACAUUGAUGAUAAUUAGAGACACAUUGAUGUUAAUUAGAGACACAUUGAUGUUAAUUAAAGAUACAUUGAUGUUAAUUAGAGACACAUUGAUGUUAAUUAAAGACACAUUAUGGUUAUUUGAUAAUAAAUUGUUGGCAAGUUUUGCUGUAUAGAACUUACAGUUGUUAUCAUUAAAUUGAUGAUUGUGAUAGACAGUAGAUAAGAGAUUCAAUUGAGGGUUAUUAUAGUUGAAAGUAAUUCAGUUUCGAGCAGCCUAUAUGUCAGUGUUCUGUUUCCCGUGAGUUUGUUUAUAGGACAAUUUAUAUUUUUAUAUCUAACUUUUACGCUAUUUAUAUUACUAAAUAAAUUGUUACUAAUUU